rnacentral:ncRNA from 2 species
AAAUGAGAUAGAGGCGCGGAUGCGAUGACCCUCCGGGAGCCGGCAGGCUGAGAACGGAGGCAAGGCAAGUCCGCCGAACUCCUCGUCCGGGCGCGGGCGUGGGGUGGGUCCGCGGGGAAUACCCACGGGACUGUCUGCGGUUUUUCACUGCAGGGGCGCUAUCCGCUUA